UACGGAGGGAGCUAGCGUUGUUCGGAAUUACUGGGCGUAAAGCGUGCGUAGGCGGUUCGUUAAGUCAGCUGUGAAAGCCCCGGGCUCAACCUGGGAACUGCGGUUGAAACUGGCGAACUAGAAUCUGGCAGAGGGGGGUGGAGUUCCACGUGUAGCAGUGAAAUGCGUAGAGAUGUGGAGGAACACCGAUGGCGAAGGCAGCCCCCUGGGCUGAGAUUGACGCUCAGGCACGAAAGCGUGGGGAGCAAACAGG
rnacentral:rRNA from 1 species